UGGGGAAUUUUGGACAAUGGGCGAAAGCCUGAUCCAGCAAUGCCGCGUGUGUGAAGAAGGCCUUCGGGUUGUAAAGCACUUUUGUCCGGAAAGAAAUCCUUGGCUCUAAUACAGUCGGGGGAUGACGGUACCGGAAGAAUAAGCACCGGCUAACUACGUGCCAGCAGCCGCGGUAAUACGUAGGGUGCAAGCGUUAAUCGGAAUUACUGGGCGUAAAGCGUGCGCAGGCGGUUUGCUAAGACCGAUGUGAAAUCCCCGGGCUCAACCUGGGAACUGCAUUGGUGACUGGCAGGCUAGAGUAUGGCAGAGGGGGGUAGAAUUCCACGUGUAGCAGUGAAAUGCGUAGAGAUGUGGAGGAAUGCCGAUGGCGAAGGCAGCCCCCUGGGCCAAUACUGACGCUCAUGCACGAAAGCGUGGGGAGCAAACAGGAUUAGAUACCCUGGUAGUCCACGCCCUAAACGAUGUCAACUAGUUGUUGGGGAUUCAUUUCCUUAGUAACGUAGCUAACGCGUGAAGUUGACCGCCUGGGGAGUACGGUCGCAAGAUUAAAACUCAAAGGAAUUGAC
rnacentral:rRNA from 1 species